rnacentral:rRNA from 1 species
AUAAUCACUUGUUCUUUAAAUGAGGACUCGUAUCAACGGCACUACGAGGGCUAUACUGUCUCCUUUUUCUAAUCAGUGAAACUGAUCUCCCCGUGAAGAAGCGGGGAUCAAAAUAUAAGACGAGAAGACCCCAUGGAGCUUUAAACUCACUAUACACCUCUGUGCCUUUAUGUCACUAGACACAAGAGAUCUGCGUACUAGUUUUAGGUUGGGGGGACCACGGAGUAUAAUUUAACCUCCAUAACAAAUGGGCUAACACCCUUAUCUACGAGACACAACUCUAAGAAUUACUAAACUAAUGCUUAUGACCCGAUAUUCGAUCAAUGAACCAAGUUACCCUGGGGAUAACAGCGCAAUCUACUUCAAGAGCCCAUAUCGACAAGUGGGUUUACGACCUCGAUGUUGGAUCAGGGUAUCCCGGUGGUGCAGCCGCUACCGACGGUUCGUUUGUUCAACGAUUAAAACCCUACGUGAUCUGAG